GACGAACGCUGGCGGCGUGCUUAACACAUGCAAGUCGAACGGAAAGGCCCUGCUUUUGUGGGGUGCUCGAGUGGCGAACGGGUGAGUAACACGUGAGUAACCUGCCCUUGACUUUGGGAUAACUUCAGGAAACUGGGGCUAAUACCGUAUAGGAGCUCCUGCUGCAUGGUGGGGGGUGGAAAGUUUCGGCGGUUGGGGAUGGACUCGCGGCUUAUCAGCUUGUUGGUGGGGUAGUGGCUUACCAAGGCUUUGACGGGUAGCCGGCCUGAGAGGGUGACCGGCCACAUUGGGACUGAGAUACGGCCCAGACUCCUACGGGAGGCAGCAGUGGGGAAUAUUGCACAAUGGGCGGAAGCCUGAUGCAGCGACGCCGCGUGCGUGAUGACGGCCUUCGGGUUGUAAACCGCUUUCGCCUGUGACGAAGCGUGAGUGACGGUAAUGGGUAAAGAAGCACCGGCUAACUACGUG
rnacentral:rRNA from 1 species